ACGAACGCUGGCGGCGUGCUUAACACAUGCAAGUCGAACGGAAAGGCCCUGCUUGCAGGGUACUCGAGUGGCGAACGGGUGAGUAACACGUGGGUGAUCUGCCCUGCACUUCGGGAUAAGCCUGGGAAACUGGGUCUAAUACCGGAUAGGAGCCAUUUUUAGUGUGAUGGUUGGAAAGUUUUUUCGGUGUAGAAUGAGCUCGCGGCCUAUCAGCUUGUUGGUGGGGUAAUGGCCUACCAAGGCGGCGACGGGUAGCCGGCCUGAGAGGGUGGACGGCCACAUUGGGACUGAGAUACGGCCCAGACUCCUACGGGAGGCAGCAGUGGGGAAUAUUGCACAAUGGGCGCAAGCCUGAUGCAGCGACGCCGCGUGGGGGAUGACGGCCUUCGGGUUGUAAACUCCUUUCGCUAGGGACGAAGCUUUUUGUGACGGUACCUAGAUAAGAAGCACCGGCUAACUACGUG
rnacentral:rRNA from 1 species